UCGGGUGGCCUGCUUUCGAG
rnacentral:misc_RNA from 1 species